ACUAGAGAUAACAAUUGGCCCAGGCAGUUGGAAGACUGGUGAGCCUUUGCAGCCUAUUUGGUUACCACAUUUUCGCAUGAACUGAUUUGAACCAUGAUGGCAGCAUUGACUUCCGAGAGUAUGUGAUUGGCCUGGCUGUCUUGUGCAACCCUUCCAACACAGAGGAGAUCAUCCAGGUGGCAUUUAAGCUGUUUGAUGUUGAUGAGGAUGGCUACAUAACGGAGGAAGAGUUCUCCACCAUUCUACAGGCUUCCCUUGGAGUGCCUGACCUUGAUGUUUCUGGUCUCUUCAAGGAAAUAGCCCAAGGGGACUCAAUUUCCUAUGAGGAAUUUAAAAGUUUUGCCUUAAAGCAUCCAGAAUAUGCUAAGAUAUUUACAACAUACCUAGACCUCCAGACGUGCCAUGUGUUUUCAUUACCAGAAG
rnacentral:sRNA from 1 species